GAUGAAGAACGCAGCGAAAUGAGAUAAGUAAUGUGAAUUGCAGAAUUCAGUGAAUCAUCGAAUCUUUGAACGCAUCUUGCGCUCCUUGGUAUUCCUUGGAGCAUGCCUGUUUGAGUAUCAUGAGCAAAUCUCAAAGUCAAUUCCUUUUGUUGAUUCAAUUGGUUUUGCUUUGGACUUGGAGGCCUUGCAGAUUUCACAGUCUGCUCCUCUUAAAUGCAUUAGCUGGAUCUCAGUAAUUAUGCUUGGUUCCACUCGGCGUGAUAAGUAUCACUCGCUGAGGACACUGUUAAAAAGGUGGCCAGGAAAAUACUGAUUGAACCGCUUCUAACGGUCUAUUAAGUUAGACAAUUACCCUUAAGUUUGAUCUCAAAUCAGGCAGGACUACCCGCUGAACUUAAGCAUAUCAAUAAGCGGAGGA
rnacentral:misc_RNA from 1 species